rnacentral:rRNA from 1 species
CGGCGAACGGGUGAGUAACACGUGGGCAACCUGCCCCUAGCUCUGGGAUAACUCCGGGAAACCGGUGCUAAUACCGGAUACGACCUCAUUUGGCAUCCUUUGAGGUGGAAAGAUUUAUUGGCUAGGGAUGGGCCCGCGGCCUAUCAGCUUGUUGGUGGGGUAAUGGCCUACCAAGGCGACGACGGGUAGCCGGCCUGAGAGGGCGACCGGCCACACUGGGACUGAGACACGGCCCAG